rnacentral:rRNA from 1 species
GCCUUGGAGUGGGGAAUAACAGCUGGAAACAGCUGCUAAUACCGCAUGAUGCAGUUGGGUCGCAUGGCUCUGACUGCCAAAGAUUUAUCGCUCUGAGAUGGACUCGCGUCUGAUUAGCUAGUUGGCGGGGCAACGGCCCACCAAGGCGACGAUCAGUAGCCGGACUGAGAGGUUGGCCGGCCACAUUGGGACUGAGACACGGCCCAGACUCCUACGGGAGGCAGCAG